AGUUUGAUCCUGGCUCAGGACGAACGCUGGCGGCGUGCUUAACACAUGCAAGUCGAACGAUGAAGCCCUUCGGGGUGGAUUAGUGGCGAACGGGUGAGUAACACGUGGGCAAUCUGCCCUUCACUCUGGGACAAGCCCUGGAAACGGGGUCUAAUACCGGAUAACACUCUGUCCCUCAUGGGAUGGGGUUAAAAGCUCCGGCGGUGAAGGAUGAGCCCGCGGCCUAUCAGCUUGUUGGUGGGGUAAUGGCCUACCAAGGCGACGACGGGUAGCCGGCCUGAGAGGGCGACCGGCCACACUGGGACUGAGACACGGCCCAGACUCCUACGGGAGGCAGCAGUGGGGAAUAUUGCACAAUGGGCGAAAGCCUGAUGCAGCGACGCCGCGUGAGGGAUGACGGCCUUCGGGUUGUAAACCUCUUCAGC
rnacentral:rRNA from 1 species